GCCUUUGUAGCUCAGUGGCAGAGCGCUUUCUUGGUAAGAAAGAGGUCGCGGGUUCAAUCCCCGCCAAAGGCU
rnacentral:tRNA from 1 species